CCUACGGGGGGCAGCAGUGAGGAAUAUUGGUCAAUGGCCGGAAGGCUGAACCAGCCAUGCCGCGUGAAGGUCAGUGCCCUAUGGGCGUUAAACUUCUUUUGUGCGGGAGCAAUAAUGGUCAAGUGUGGCCAGACGAGAGUACCGUACGAAUAAGCAUCGGCUAACUCCGUGCCAGCAGCCGCGGUAAUACGGGGGAUGCAAGCGUUAUCCGGAUUUAUUGGGUUUUAAGGGUGCGUAGGCUGUGAGGUAAGUCAGCGGUGAAAUGCCCCCGCUCAACGGGGUGAAGUGCCAUUGAUACUGCCUUGCUUGAAUGCGGAUGCCGUGGGAGGAAUGUGUGGUGUAGCGGUGAAAUGCAUAGAUAUCACACAGAACACCGAUUGCGAAGGCAUCUCACGAAUCCGCGAUUGACGUUGAUGCACGAAAGCGUGGGUAUCAAACAGGAUUAGAUACCCCUGUAGUC
rnacentral:rRNA from 1 species